GACGAACGCUGGCGGCGUGCUUAACACAUGCAAGUCGAACGGAACGGCCUUUUCGGAGGUACUCGAGUGGCGAACGGGUGAGUAACACGUGGGUGAUCUGCCCUGCACUCUGGGAUAAGCCUGGGAAACUGGGUCUAAUACCGGAUAGGACCGCACUUUAGUGUGUGUGGUGGAAAGUUUUUUCGGUGUAGGAUGAGCCCGCGGCCUAUCAGCUUGUUGGUGGGGUAAUGGCCCACCAAGGCGGCGACGGGUAGCCGGACUGAGAGGUUGGUCGGCCACAUUGGGACUGAGAUACGGCCCAGACUCCUACGGGAGGCAGCAGUGGGGAAUAUUGCACAAUGGGCGCAAGCCUGAUGCAGCGACGCCGCGUGGGGGAUGACGGCCUUCGGGUUGUAAACUCCUUUCGCCAGGGACGAAGCGUUUUGUGACGGUACCUGGAGAAGAAGCACCGGCUAACUACGUG
rnacentral:rRNA from 1 species